rnacentral:rRNA from 1 species
UACGUAGGUGGCUAGCGUUGUCCGGAUUUACUGGGCGUAAAGAGCGCGCAGGCGGUCGUUCAAGUCGAGUGUGAAAGCCCCCGGCUCAACUGGGGAGGGUCACGCGAUACUGUUCGACUCGAAGGCAGGAGAGGGAAGCAGAAUUCCCGGUGUAGUGGUGAAAUGCGUAGAUAUCGGGAGGAAUACCAGUGGCGAAGGCGGCUUCCUGGCCUGUUCUUGACGCUGAGGCGCGAAAGCUAGGGUAGCAAACGGG